UUUUUUUUUUUCUUCGAGCCUGGUGGCAGACAUGUCACCGCCCCGUUAUAAAGGGGACGCUCAUAGCAUCCAUCCAUCGAUCCAUCCACUGCGUUGACCACGUGGUGGGGGAAGGCGGCAGUUUUAACUAGGGUGCCUUGAUGCGCGUUUUGUACACUAGUUUUAACCCGUAGUAGGUUGUUUGGGUGCGCCUGUUUAGUUAUAUUAACGGUGUUAGACUGAAUUCGUGUGUUCUGUUCGAUGGUCGGGCGGGCGAUGGUUAAGCGGACUGGAAAAACCACGGGCGCCAGUGAUCUCGCGCAGUGCGGGGAAUGCACGCGCUGGUGCUACCUAGAUGAGACGGCCUUCACAAGUCUAGCCGACGCUGAGGAGGCGAGCUUCGUGUGCAAGCUGUGCCAGAAAGUGAAGGCAGCCGUGCAGCGCAUGGGAGCUUGCAUUGGGGAGCUGAAGGUGGAGCGAGAACAGAGGAUUGAGCUCCAAUUAGCGCAACUCGGAGAGGCACGUGAGCGUGGGGAGGCUCCCGCCAGCCUAGUAGAACAAAUGGAGGCCGAUCUAAGGAAGGAACGGGAAAGGCGGGCCGAGCUCGAAGACCGAGUAAAGGCGCUUAUGGCGCUUGACUCCGGUCCCGAGCAGUGUGAGGCGAAAGACAAGGGCAACACGGAAUCCCAGGCAGAAACAGGCAAGAAAGGGGACCUAGGAGCUGCAGUGGCACAUGUAGAAACAGGCGACAGCAGGAGAAAAAGCUACAGCGAUGUGGCGCGGCAGUCUUCCGGUGGGGCAAAGCAAGGAGCACCGGCAGCGGGCUCUUUAUCGCGAGUCAGGGACACUCAGCGAACGGGGGAUCAUCAGCGGGCGCGAACAGGAUCACAGCAAUCGCAAGCCGGAAGCGAACGACUGGACCGUAGAAGGGUCCUAGUGGUGGGGGACUCCAAUGUAGCCAGAGUCGAGCAGGGCGUCCUUACGACAGUGAAGGCAGACAGGAGGGUAAAAGUGGAGGCCCAGUCAGGAAAGUGCAUGACGGAUGCACUGGCCAAAGCAGGAGGUGGUGGGGGACAGCAUAGAGGGUGAAAACCUCGUCAUCAUUCAUGCUGGUCUCAACGAUGUCCUGAAGGGAAAGAGCCAGAACCUUCAAAGACAGUUAGAGGAUGGGGUGCGUAAGCUUCGAGAAGCUUCUGAGGGUGUGCAUGUGACCAUGUGCACCAUCUCAGAAGUCUGGGGGCAAUCUGGCGGUACGGAAAGGAGGGCUAUGUAUAGGAGGAGGGUGAUAGAGGCUAAUUGUGUCAUCAGAGGUAUGAGCCGGCAACUCGGCUACAGCGUAAUGGAGGUAAACAAAGACGUGUACGAGCCCGCCUUCCGCCCUUUUGCACAAGAUGGUAUUCAUUACAGUGGUGCCAUGGGCAGGAGGGUAGGUAAUAGGAUGGGUCGCCAAGCCACAGCUUUUUUAGGGGGACCCAGUGGCCUGAGGCCACCAGUGUAG